UGCCCACCUCUGCCUCCCAAAGUGCUGGGAUUACAGGUGUGAGCCACCGCACCCAGUCAGCUCACUUAAUUUUCAUGGAAUACAGUGGGCAUUAUGAUCCCAAUUUUACAAGUGAGAAAACUGAGAAGGAGAGAGGUCCCCAAAGUUGCCUAAAGUCACACAGUAAGUGGUAGAGUCAGGAUUCCAGCUGAAGUCUGCUUCCAAAUCCCACCUUCUAACCGCUGCCACUAGACUGCUGUGUCUGCUGGGGUGUUAGGUCACAGGAGAAAAGAGAUAAUGGCUUUGUGACCCGGGAGCUCCGCCUUCACCUCCUCCUGCCAUCCUCAGCAUGAGCCAGCUGCAUGAGGGGUGCUGUGUGCUGGGCUGGAGGAUGGAGCCAUGUGCCACUCCCUCCGAGGCACGCUGUGAAGGUGCAAGUGGUGUGUUCUGAGAGUGCGGAGGAUGAAAACUUCUCACCCAGCUUUCUACAUUCAAGUUUACAAGUGCUGCUCAGGACCCACUGAUUAUUUCCAGGGGAAGAUCACCAAACCGCCUAAGGCCGAGACUCCCAGGAUAGCGCAGCAUGCCCCGGAGUCCCCCAGCUCGAUUUGCUCAGAACUCAGAAAGAAAACAGCCCACACUCCUUGAACUUCAGGCACUGAUGGAGGCAUUUUCCAAAGAACAGUGACAAGGACGGCCAGCACCUCUCUUGCAUUCCUCAGUCUGACUCAAGCUGCUCUUCCACCCUCCUCCCCAGCUGGAGCUGAGGCUGAAGGCAGUUGAGGGCCACCAGGGAGAAGAGCUGGGUCAGGGCCGUGACUUGCCAGCAAGCAUGAGGCCAAGCAGAUGUGCCGGAACAGCUGUGGUGACAGAGCUGUGGCCAACUGCUCCCUGGGCCGAGGGUGAAGGAAGCUGUGCUCCCACUGGUGCUAGGGAAGGCUGCUGCAGGGCUGGAGGCCUGGGUGCUGGACUGCUGGGGCAGGCUGCCUGCUGUACCCCCAAGCUGCAGUCAGGGCUCGCCCUGAGGCCCUGAGGUGGAGAGAGAGCAGCUGUCUCGUACACACCCAUGUGCACAAGUGCAGGCACACACACACACACACACACACACACAAAAGACGUUCUCACUUCAUCCCCGAAUUCUCCCUCCUACACACAAAGCUAGUUCCCAGUUCUCCAGUCCCCCUCCAUCCCUCUCCACUUCUGUAGUCUCUGCUGGGCUGCACUGGGGAUCUGGUCCCAAUUCCCCUCUCUUCCCUUGCUGCCCCUGUAACAAAGGGCUGGCCAUGUGACAUGAUCUCCUCAGGCUUCAGAGAAGUGAUUUUACCCUGAGCUACACAGGCAGGAAGACCACCAGCCUGGAAGGGCCCUUCAGCCACUUUCCCAACAAACAGCAAAUCUCCGCCGAUUGAACUCUGACUGAGGCAAUGGGGGCAUGCCAGGCAACAAGGUGGAGGUUUGCUACCGUGGGAGCAGGGAGAGCGUGGAACACAGACGCUCUGGGUGUUGAAGAGGAGGCUUCACCCUUAAAUCCACACCAACAGCCCCCUUCACUUCCCCCGGUGAAGAACGAAGGACCCUGUGGGAUUUCUACUUCAAAUCUCUCAUUUAUUCCGACAUCCACUCGGUUAUGACUCCAAGUUAUCAAAGAUGCAAGACAAGAAGUCUAGAGCAGGAGUGGUGAAGUGGAGGUGGAGAAAGACGGCGGAGAGGGCUGUGUUCCUGGCCCCUCCUUCUCUUCCAAUUUAGGGCACCGUUUGAAAAGUGUACAAGUAGUGUCCCUUAGCACAGACUAGACAGCAGAAAAGGACAGUGCAGCAGGACGUACGAAUGAUGUUAUUUCUGGCAAGGAGGACACGGCUGCUGUGGUUGAUUGGCUGUGGAAUUCCAGGGGAGCAAGGCACUAGGAAGUGGGGAACGCUGCCAGGCCCAGCAGCUCAUCAGGAGCUUGCACUUGGCCCAGUUAGGGCUGGCCGUGGGACGGGCUUGUUGAAGCUGCUGCCGCCAUAAGCUGCCCCUCUGCACCAGGAGACAGAUCCCAUUACCCCACCUACAGCUGCUUCCUGGUACAAGAGAAGAGUUACCAUUUGAAAUGACUCCACAGGAGAGUCUGACAAACAUGUUUGCUUUUCACUGACAAUUAAAAUUGUUUUGCUGCUAAUCUUGUUUUAUUGUGGUCUUUCAUCCAUCAGCAAGCAUCCCUGCACGCAAGAUCAGAGUUGGGUAAAUACAUCCAGACCCUGCCAGGAUUAGGGCAAGAGGGAGUGCUCUGGGCCGGCAGAUCUUUUUCGGAAAUUCUCACUUCUUGGAGCACUAAAGGGUUGUUAGUCUAUCUGGGCAAGCCUCGUUUCCCUGGAGAAAAUGGAGUCUCAGAGAUUAGUGACUGGUCCUAGAGCUAAUGAGUGACCAAAGUGUGACCAGAGCCCAGGUCUGCUUCUCAACCCAGGGCACUUUGAUUCCAGAUUGAGAUGUAAGGUGACAGGUGCCUUAAUAGUGGCGCAAAAGAUGUGCAUUCCCCUCUUCCUCCCUCCCCGCUCCCUGCUCCCCCAGCGGCACCCUGACCUUCCUCAAAUGCAGAAUCAAGAUUUCAGCAGGGGGGCCAGCCCUUUCCCUGCCCCACCCUCCUCGAAUUCAGUGACUCAGGAGUGGGAAGGGGGUUAGCUAUGCCCUUAGAAGGGGGCCAGCUUCUGCAGAGGCCACUGGAAAACUCAUCAGGAUUCUCACUCACAAAGCCACUGCCACAUUCUAAGUAGGAAGUCGGAGUUGGAAAUGAGGCUGGUGUGAGACACAAUAAAUGGCUCAUCGCCAGGAAACUGGGGAGUAGGGCGGCCAAGGGAGGGCGGCGAGCGUGGAAUCCCAAGGCUAAGUCACGUCCCUCCCAUCCUCAGGACUGGGCUGUUGCUCUGGUGAGAUGAAUGAAGAUCCUGCUCCACGGCGUCACAGGUGGAUGCUUACAUAGAAUGCCGGGCUCUGGGGGACUUGACGUGGUUUCAGCCGCUGCAGCAUCGCCCCACAGAGAUUCUGUGCUCUUCCUGUUCACCAGCCCGCUGUCUGCCAUGGGGAUUGGUCACGUGUUAACCACCUUUCGUUCAAGCUGUUUCGGGAUCAGACUUUUCCUUCUCUGGUACAUGGGAGACCUUUCCUCUCUGCAGCUCCUGAAUGUACAAAGCCCCUGGUGCCUACCCGUGGUUACUGUGUGUGUGUGUGUGUGUGUGUGUGUGUGUGUGUGUCUGUGCGCGCGCGCGCGCGUGCGUACACCUGGGAACGGUUAUGCACACCCUCACAGGACUGCAUCCACACAAGCUACUCGGCGUGGUGGGCUGGGCCGAGAGACAGUCAGCUGGUCUCUUUGCUAAGCUACCAGAAGUCGGCUAACAAAAUGAAAAAACUUCUCCAGCAGGGGGCGCUGGUUCCUAAGUCAGAGAAAGGAUUUCGGGGAACACAAGGUUAGACACUUUCUGGUGCAGUCCCCACAAGCCACCUUAGGCUUUAAAGUCAACUUGACACGUCCCACGAGGAAGGGGGCAGGUGAGAUGUGAUACGUUCAGGAAUCAACGACCCUACGGGAGCAGCUACAGUGACAGCAGUAGCUAUGGUAACCAACGUACAAAGCUGGGCUGUGAACUAGCUGUUGGAGUCGUUUCAGCAAGCGCGUCCUGAAGCAGUGCCGUUGACGCCCCGCCCCUCGCUUCUCCAAUGCUGGAAUUGUAGCUCUCACUUCUCUCCUUGCCCUCUGUCCCCUUUUCCUAGGCACGGAUGCUUCAUCUCCCGAGGACCCGGGAGGCCUCCUGAGCCUUUGCUGAGCUUUCCCUGGUGCUCCUUUUUGCAGUCCAGCGAAUCCAGGGGACUGGGGCACACUGCAAGGGGUUGUGGUGGUGCUGGGGCUGCCAGAGGAGUGUCCCAACCAAGAAACUGGCGAAGCUGCAGACUCGACCUAGCAGUCCCCCACCUCUGGCCCACAGAGUUGGAGCCAGGCCCUGUCUUGGUUCUCAAUGCACUCAAAAGCUUAAAUCCUAGUAAACCCUCCACUGCGGAGCGAGAAAA
rnacentral:lncRNA from 1 species